rnacentral:rRNA from 1 species
GAUGAACGCUGGCGGCGUGCCUAAUACAUGCAAGUCGAGCGAACAGACGAGGAGCUUGCUCCUCUGACGUUAGCGGCGGACGGGUGAGUAACACGUGGAUAACCUACCUAUCAGACUGGGAUAACUUCGGGAAACCGGAGCUAAUACCGGAUAAUAUCUUGAACCGCAUGGGUCAAUAGUGAAAGACGGUUUUGCUGUCACUUAUAGAUGGUUCCGCGCCGCAUUAGCUAGUUGGUAAGUUAACGGCUUACCAAGGCAACGAUGCGUAGCCGACCUGAGAGGGUGAUCGGCCACACUGGAAGUGAGACACGGUCCAGACUCCUACGGGAGGCAGCAGUAGGGAAUCUUCCGCAAUGGGCGAAAGCCUGACGGAGCAACGCCGCGUGAGUGAUGAAGGUCUUCGGAUCGUAAAACUCUGUUAUUAGGGAAGAACAAAUGUGUAAGUAACUAUGCACGUCUUGACGGUACCUAAUCAGAAAGCCACGGCUAACUACGUG